rnacentral:rRNA from 1 species
GGGCCCGCACAAGUAGUGGAGCAUGUGGUUUAAUUCGAAGAUACGCGCAGAACCUUACCAACACUUGACAUGUUCGUCGCGACUUUAAGAGAUUAAAGUUUUCGGUUCGGCCGGACGAAACACAGGUGCUGCAUGGCUGUCGUCAGCUCGUGUCGUGAGAUGUUGGUUAAGUCCCGCAACGAGCGCAACCCUCACUUUUAGUUGCCAUCAUUAAGUUGGGCACUCUGAAAGAACUGCCAGUGAUAAGCUGGAGGAAGGUGGGGAUGACGUCAAGUCCUCAUGGCCCUUACGUGUUGGGCUACACACGUGCUACAAUGGUAGGUACAGAGGGAAGCCACCCGCGAGGGGGAGCG